GAUGAACGCUGGCGGCGCGCCUAAUACAUGCAAGUCGAGCGAACAGACGAGGAGCUUGCUCCUCUGACGUUAGCGGCGGACGGGUGAGUAACACGUGGAUAACCUACCUAUAAGACUGGGAUAACUUCGGGAAACCGGAGCUAAUACCGGAUAAUAUAUUGAACCGCAUGGUUCAAUAGUGAAAGACGGUUUUGCUGUCACUUAUAGAUGGAUCCGCGCCGCAUUAGCUAGUUGGUAAGGUAACGGCUUACCAAGGCAACGAUGCGUAGCCGACCUGAGAGGGUGAUCGGCCACACUGGAACUGAGACACGGUCCAGACUCCUACGGGAGGCAGCAGUAGGGAAUCUUCCGCAAUGGGCGAAAGCCUGACGGAGCAACGCCGCGUGAGUGAUGAAGGUCUUCGGAUCGUAAAACUCUGUUAUUAGGGAAGAACAAACGUGUAAGUAACUAUGCACGUCUUGACGGUACCUAAUCAGAAAGCCACGGCUAACUACGUG
rnacentral:rRNA from 1 species